rnacentral:lncRNA from 1 species
GCUGCUAGAAAGAUCACUGAAUAAAUAUAACUCUCGGCCUAAUGCCUGCACCUCAGUCUCUGUGCCCGUAGCCAGAGAUAACUCCCUCCCGGCCCAAUGCCUGUCUCCGUGUCCCUCAGCCUUUCGCUAGGGAUUAUUUCUCCCGGCCUACAUGCCAACACCAGAUCCUCGCCCCAGGCGGCAUAGUGUCCACUAGGUACGCACAAAUAGUUACGUCUCUCUUAAAUAACCACUUCAUAGCAUAGGUUACCGAUCAUCGUCUACACUAUAAAGAGGGGUUCAAAAACAUGUUCUAGCAUCCUAUCGUCAUUUAUCAGAUAGUCUACCAGUUUAUGAUUUUUAUAGAAAAUACGAUAUAUUAAAAUAUAGCUCAAUAUAGGCCAACAAUUAAUUCAUCACCAAAAACACGAGACGAUAAUCAAUAUAUUAAAUCAACAGGCUCCACAUAAAUCAGAUCAUAAAUUCAUAGGCAUGCUAAUCAUUUAUGCAAUUACUAUAAAAUCAUGUAAUUUUAGAAGGGGUCCACUCAC